rnacentral:rRNA from 1 species
CGGCGGACGGGUGAGUAAUGCCUAGGAAUCUGCCUGGUAGUGGGGGACAACGUUUCGAAAGUAACGCUAAUACCGCAUACGUCCUACGGAGAAAGCAGGGACCUUCGGGCCUUGUGCUAUCAGAUGAGCCUAGGUCGGAUUAGCUAGUUGGUGAGGUAAUGGCUCACCAAGGCGACGAUCCGUAACUGGUCUGAGAGGAUGAUCAGUCACACUGGAACUGAGACACGGUCCAGACUCCUACGGGAGGCAGCAGCG